rnacentral:lncRNA from 1 species
UAUUGCGAAGGAGGUGAACUGUACUUUCUGGAAUCACAUCAAACAUUUGUUUACGGCUUGAGAGUUCUUUUUCAACUCCUUUUGCUCUCGACCACCGUGAAAGCAGACGCCACCGUCUGGGGUUCUUUCAAUGCAAAAUUUUAUGGUCCAGGGGACGUUUUGAAGACGAAAAACGGGCGACUCCUGGCGGCCAUCAGCAGGAAUGAAGUCGUGAUGGCCACUCUUCAUGGCAAAAAAAACAUCGAAAUCUUCAUCGCGACACAUGAUAAAUCACGAACCAAGGUAAGAUCGCUCAUGUCUUGCUUAAAAAUUGUCGUGUCUGGCAAAAAUUUCAAAUCGACUUUUGAUGACUUCAGAUCAGGCCCGCCACAAGGGGGGGGGAUACUGGGUCCCUGGUACCGGGGCCCGUGCUGCCCGUGAAAAACCACUACGAAUUCACAUGCAACCCUUGUUUCGUAGGAAAAAGUGAAAAAUUUAUCCUAAAAAGAUGACUUCAGAUCAGGCCCGCCACAAGGGGGGGGGGAUACUGGGUCCCUGGUACCGGGGCCCGGGCCCCGGAGGGGGCCCGUGCUGCCCGUGAAAAACCACUACGAAUUCACAUGCAACCCUUGUUUCGUAGGAAAAAGUGAAAAAUUUACCCUAAAAAUUUCGCAAAAGGUGAUCAAAAACACGCUGGGGCACUGUAGGAUUCUUCUUAAAUUUUUAAAGAAGUAUACUUCUUGGAAAAUU